AUUGAACGCUGGCGGCAUGCCUUACACAUGCAAGUCGAACGGCAGCACGGGAGCAAUCCUGGUGGCGAGUGGCGAACGGGUGAGUAAAGUAUCGGAACGUGCCCAGUCGUGGGGGAUAACGUAGCGAAAGUUACGCUAAUACCGCAUACGAUCUAUGGAUGAAAGCGGGGGAUCGCAAGACCUCGCGCGAUUGGAGCGGCCGAUAUCAGAUUAGGUAGUCGGUGGGGUAAAGGCUCACCAAGCCGACGAUCUGUAGCUGGUCUGAGAGGACGACCAGCCACACUGGGACUGAGACACGGCCCAGACUCCUACGGGAGGCAGCAGUGGGGAAUUUUGGACAAUGGGCGAAAGCCUGAUCCAGCCAUGCCGCGUGCAGGAUGAAGGCCUUCGGGUUGUAAACUGCUUUUGUACGGAACGAAAAGGUUUGGCCUAAUAAGCUGAGCUCAUGGCGGUACCGUAAGAAUAAGCACCGGCUAACUACGUGCCAGCAGCCGCCGUAA
rnacentral:rRNA from 1 species